rnacentral:rRNA from 1 species
UACGUAGGGUGCGAGCGUUGUCCGGAAUUAUUGGGCGUAAAGAGCUUGUAGGCGGUCUGUCGCGUCUGCUGUGAAAAUCCGGGGCUCAACCCCGGACAUGCAGUGGGUACGGGCAGACUAGAGUGUGGUAGGGGAGACUGGAAUUCCUGGUGUAGCGGUGAAAUGCGCAGAUAUCAGGAGGAACACCGAUGGCGAAGGCAGGUCGCUGGGCCACUACUGACGCUGAGAAGCGAAAGCAUGGGGAGCGAACAGG